rnacentral:rRNA from 1 species
GGAUCCAGACUUUGAUUCUGGCUCAGGAUGAACGCUAGCGGCAGGCCUAACACAUGCAAGUCGAGGGGCAGCGGGAUUGAAGCUUGCUUCAGUUGCCGGCGACCGGCGCACGGGUGCGUAACGCGUAUGCAACCUACCCAUAACAGGGGGAUAACACUGAGAAAUCGGUACUAAUAUCCCAUAACAUCAAGAGGGGCAUCCCUUUUGGUUGAAAACUCCGGUGGUUAUGGAUGGGCAUGCGUUGUAUUAGCUAGUUGGUGAGGUAACGGCUCACCAAGGCGACGAUACAUAGGGGGACUGAGAGGUUAACCCCCCACAUUGGUACUGAGACACGGACCAAACUCCUACGGGAGGCAGCAGUGAGGAAUAUUGGUCAACGGACGCAAGUCUGAACCAGCCAUGCCGCGUGCAGGAUGACGGCUCUAUGAGUUGUAAACUGCUUUUGUACGAGGGUAAACCCGGAUACGUGUAUCCGGCUGAAAGUAUCGUACGAAUAAGGAUCGGCUAACUCCGUGCCAGCAGCCGCGGUAAUACGGAGGAUUCAAGCGUUAUCCGGAUUUAUUGGGUUUAAAGGGUGCGUAGGCGGUUUGAUAAGUUAGAGGUGAAAUACCGGUGCUUAACACCGGAACUGCCUCUAAUACUGUUGAGCUAGAGAGUAGUUGCGGUAGGCGGAAUGUAUGGUGUAGUGGUGAAAUGCUUAGAGAUCAUACAGAACACCGAUUGCGAAGGCAGCUUACCAAACUAUAUCUGACGUUGAGGCACGAAAGCGUGGGGAGCAAACAGGAUUAGAUACCCUGGUAGUCCACGCAGUAAACGAUGAUAACUCGCUGUCGGCGAUACACAGUCGGUGGCUAAGCGAAAGCGAUAAGUUAUCCACCUGGGGAGUACGUUCGCAAGAAUGCAACUCAAAGGAAUUGACGG